rnacentral:rRNA from 1 species
GCAAGUCGGACGGUAACAUAGAGUGCUUGCACUCUGAUGACGAGUGGCGCACGGGUGCGUAACGCGUAUAGAACCUACCCUGUACAGGGGGAUAGCCCAUGGAAGCGUGGAUUAAUACCCCGUAGAUAUCGUAAGUGGCAUCACUUAUGGUUUAAAGUCUUCGGGCGGUACGGGAUGGCUAUGCGUCUUAUUAGUUAGUAGGUGAGGUAACGGCUCACCUAGGCAGCGAUAAGUAGGGGCCCUGAGAGGGGGAUCCCCCACACUGGUACUGAGACACGGACCAGACUCCUACGGGAGGCAGCAGUGAGGAAUAUUGGACAAUGGGCGGAAGCCUGAUCCAGCCAUGCCGCGUGCAGGAAGACGGCCCUAUGGGUUGUAAACUGCUUUUAUACGGGAAGAAUAAUCGCCACGUGUGGUGAGAUGACGGUACCGUAAGAAUAAGGACCGGCUAACUCCGUGCCAGCAGCCGCGGUAAUACGGAGGGUCCGAGCGUUAUCCGGAAUUAUUGGGUUUAAAGGGUCCGCAGGCGGGCAAUUAAGUCAGGGGUGAAAUGCUGUGGCUCAACCAUAGCACUGCCCUUGAUACUGGUUGUCUUGAGUUGUGGUGAAGUGGCCGGAAUAUGUAGUGUAGCGGUGAAAUGCAUAGAUAUUACAUAGAACACCGAUCGCGAAGGCAGGUCACUAACCACUAACUGACGCUGAUGGACGAAAGCGUGGGGAGCGAACGGGAUUAGAUACCCCGGUAGUCCACGCUGUAAACGAUGGAUACUAGCUGUCGGGAUUUCGGUCUCGGUGGCUAAGCGAAAGUGAUAAGUAUCCCACCUGGGGAGUACGUUCGCAAGAAUGAAACUCAAAGGAAUUGACGGGGGGCCCGCACAAGCGG